rnacentral:rRNA from 1 species
UACGUAGGGUGCGAGCGUUAAUCGGAAUUACUGGGCGUAAAGCGUGCGCAGGCGGCGCGUUAAGACAGGUGUGAAAGCCCCGAGCUUAACUUGGGAAUUGCGCUUGUGACUGGCGUGCUGGAGUGUGGCAGAGGGAGGUGGAAUUCCAGGUGUAGCGGUGAAAUGCGUAGAGAUCUGGAGGAACACCGAUGGCGAAGGCAGCCUUCUGGGCCAACACUGACGCUCAUGCACGAAAGCGUGGGGAGCAAACAGG